UGAAAGUGGCUGAAAUCUGCAAAUUUCUUCAAGCUGUGGAUAUAAGCCGAUGCAACAAAAUUACUGCUGUUGGUGUUUCUGAACUCUUUCAGCACUGCAAGUCAUUGCAGACUUUGAGAUGCGGAGGCUGCAGGCUGCCCAAGGAGUGACUACACUGCACGCAACUGCCUGUGCAUGUUGAAACCAAAGUUGAAUGAUAUGGAGGGAGAUUCGUGGGAGGAACUUGAUACUGCUGAAAUUGGCCAUGGUGCAGGAUCCCUGCGGUGGCUUGUGUGGCCGAAGAUUGAUAAAGAUUCAUUGGAGAUCUUGGCCACUGAGUGCCCACGUAUAAUAGUAAAUCCCAAGCCGUCACCCUUUGGUUUUGGAGGAAUUAUGGUUCCUACAGAAGCUUUAACAGACAUUCCACUGGAUGAUCCCAUUGUCAAGGAUAUUGAUCCUAAAACAUGGGCAAUGUGUGGGUUUACAUCAAAACCUGUAGCUGCCUCUAUUUCAAGCCCUACUGAGUUGUCCAUGGCUGAAAAAUUUAGACUUGCAUUUGUGGAAAGAGACACACGCUUAGCACCAAAACGAGCCAAGAAUGCACGACAACAUCAGCGCCGUGCAGAGAGGGAGUGGAUGAUGAUGAGUGCAAAUGCCAAGGCAUUAGCUCUGGCAUCUAAAGCAAGCAAGUCCCUGCA
rnacentral:misc_RNA from 1 species